rnacentral:lncRNA from 1 species
GUGUGUGUGUGUGUGUGUGUGUGUGUGUGUGUGUGUGUGUGUGUGUGAGUGUGUGUGAGUGUGUGUGUGUGUGUGUGUGUGUGUGUGUGUGUGUGCGCAGGUGAUACAGGAGGAGUUCAGUCACACCGUGCUGCAUCUAAACAGAGCAGCAGCGUCUCAAGCAGCAGAGAACAAACAGAAGUCCAGAGAGAGACCCGGCGCCGCCGUCAAGAAACUUUCUGCUAAACCAGGAUGGAGAGUCACAGUCAGAGCCUUCACCCCGGCACACAAGAAACCUCUUCAUCAAAGGGCUGCAGACAGAGAAGCUGCAGUGCAGCAGCACCACAGGUGAGUUUACUCCUACCUCCAUCCAUCAGUUAUGUCAUUUCAUGUGCACUAAACCUGAGCUGAUGCAGGUUUAAUGGGCAGCAGCUAGUCGGCCAUUACCAGCAGCACUACGCCGAGCUGGACGCCUUUCACAGGAGGGACAAGGUGGAUGUCCUUCCUCCUCCUCCUCCUCCUCCUCCUCCUCAGGAGAGGCGGCGAUGUGAAGACCAGCCUGUGGAGCCGUACCAGCUGUGAGUGACUUCACACAUAUAGCAGUAAUUUACGAUUUU